ensembl:snRNA U6 U6 spliceosomal RNA
GUUGUGCUCACUGUGGCAACACAUACUCAAACUGGAACGAUAAGGAGAUUAGCAUGGCCCCUGAGCAAGGAUGAUAUGCAAACUCAUGAAAUGUUCCAUAUUUAA